GUUACCCACAGGGAUUCAAAGUCCCCGCAAUGGCUGAUAUUGUCAGAGGGAAGGAGACUUCACUGGGAACGAAAGAGGAAAAGAGUAACACCGUGUCCUUGUUGACCACACAGCAUCCAGACAGAUUCCUGCCCACGUCUCCCAGGGGGCCCAGUCCUGUCAGUGGAUGAACUGCCACCCGAGCAGAGUGACGCACCUGGGGUCUUGACCACUGAUGAGAAUUGCCAGAUAAAAUACUGAAUGUCCUGAUUUUCAGUACCUCCUCUGCCUCAUCACCUCAAUGCCCUGCUCAGAGAAGACUGCCUGACCUUGCAAUUGUCAACAUAGCAGGAUAAAGCCAUCAAAGGAAAGUCCUGUUGGUGUUUGGAUUUAUAACAUGUUUGUAGAAGUUACCUUUAUCACAUAAACCACUCUUCCCCCACAACAGAUGAUAGCCGCCACAUCAUUUCUUGCUGGUGAGAAAACAGCUUCUUAUUGAAAAGGCAUUCUUUGGGAAGAGGCUCACCUCCAGAAGGAGAUGUCCCCAGUGAAGACAAUGCCACCAGUGAGUAGCGGGAUGAUGUCAUAACCUGCCUUGUGGGUUCCAGAUUUUUCUGUUUAGGCAUUCUUUGUUGGAUCCAUAGCAUGUAACUCAACAAAAUCCUGAGUUUUUGCUUAUUAAAGAUUAACUGCCUGC